rnacentral:rRNA from 1 species
UACGUAGGGUGCGAGCGUUAAUCGGAAUUACUGGGCGUAAAGGGUGCGCAGGCGGUUCUGCAAGUGAGGCGUGAAAUCCCCGGGCUUAACCUGGGAAUGGCGCUUGAAACUACGGGACUGGAGUAUGGCAGAGGGAGGUGGAAUUCCACGUGUAGCGGUGAAAUGCGUAGAGAUGUGGAGGAACACCGAUGGCGAAGGCAGCCUCCUGGGCCAAUACUGACGCUCAUGCACGAAAGCGUGGGGAGCAAACAGG